GUGUGCCUGCCUUAACUCCCCCUGCUGGUAGCAGAUCAGCCUCUGGGUGUGUGGUGUGGAGGGCAGAGCCCAUCUGUACUCACAGGCUGCUGUCCUAGCCCACAGGAAACAUGCUGAAGUCUCUGGGUGAAGAUGGAUGAGAAUGCAUCUGUCCUCAAGAUCGGGGACCUCCGGCCAGGAGGGAAACCAGCCCACAGACGGUGCAGACAGUGUUGAGGCCUGGCAUGCUGCCCUUCAGGUCUCUAUCUGGUGAGCUCCUACUGAUUCUUCCAACCCCAGUUCAAACUUCACCUCUUUUUUGGAAUCUUCCCCAAAUCAGACAAGCACAGGAAAUUACUCCUACUACUUUGUUCAUACAGUUAGUGUAGUGCUUAUUGUUGUGCAUGGCUGGAGGUCAAGGACCGUAGCUGACCUGCCUUUAUAAUCCUAGAGACCAACAUAAAGCCUGAUCCAAAGCAGGCGCUCAACAGAUAGGUGUGAAGUGGACAGUUGAGCUGUUACACUGCUCCCAGAGAACCCCACACAACCCAACCCCAGAAAGACCACUGAGUCCAAUUCCAGUUAAAAAACACAUUGGCAAAACAGAGGUUGACCGUAAUGGAAAAGGACCUGGAAAUUAGGUCCUCUAGGAAAGAAUCUAAGGCACCAGGUGUGUUUGGAUUGGAGAGAAGAACACCUCAUAGACUUUUUUUUAACACUGUGUGAAAAGCUGCAGAGAAGGGAGAUUAGGUGUUUAACCUUCAGUGGCCCAAACUGCGACCACUUGUAGAAGUUACAGGGAAGCAGGUUUCAGCUGAGAUUAAGAAAAACAUCUUUAAAUAACUACAGGCUUCCAGCAGUGGACUGGAUUGCCUCUAGUAGCCUCGGGGAACAGGGAGAAGGCAUCAGAAGCUGAGGGAAAGGGAACCAACAUCUACUAAGCAACCAUUCCCUGCUACAUGCUUAUAUAUACAUUAGCCAUUUAAUCAUGGCAUCAACCACGCAGAGAGGAACCAUCAGUAUUUCCAUUCUAUAGAUGAGAAGAGUAGAGAUGGAACGAAUAUGGGUCUAUGUUUACAAAGCCAAUCAGGAUUAAAACCCAGGUGGCUCUGACUGCAAAGCCAGUGGCUUUUCCUCUAUAUCAUGCACUGCCCACCUGGAGGUGGGGGGGGGGGGGAAGGUCAGGGGCUCUGCAGGGGAGAAUCCUGUACCUCAAAAGAGGACGAAUCGGAGAGGUAUCAAGGUCCUGGCUGUUCAACACUUCAGCUCUGUUCUGGGGAUAGGGGUGGAGUUGGCAUAAGCAGAUGACUCCCUGCGAUAGCCAAUGAGUGACAGUGAUAGAAAAGCAGAAAAAUGAAAAAAUAGGCUACAUCUGGGACUUCUCCUGAAACGCGACAAGAGCAGACACUGCAGUUUGCACAUCAUCUCCUCUCUUCCACCUUCCCUUGCCUCUUUUUUCUCUCAUUGCUCUUUAAAAAGCUUCAUUCAACAAAUACCGAUUGAGUGAGUUUUGUGUAUAGAUCACUUGGCAAGACAGGGAAUAAGCACAGCUCCUUCUUGCAAGGGGCAUCUGAGCUAAGAACUGACUCGGUCCACUCUCUGGGAUCUCACCAAAGCCUGGCCCUCUUUCCUGACAAAGCAGGGAUAGGCUAGGCUAGGAAUAGAACAUUUACAGAAACUUUGCAUCAGUGGGAAAAAAUGUGUUUUAAGGAAGAGAUUGAGUGGGUGACAAAAUGAGUGCUUUGUUUCAGAGAUAAUUGAAAUCACUUGGUUUACUGAGAAACUUUGAAGCAAAGACAAGACUUGCCCCAGUAUCAUAGUGGAUGUUACCUUCUUCAUUCCAUGCGCCCUCUGCCAACAAUCCCACACAAUCUCUUCCCCCUGUCUGGAUGCCUCCCCCUCCGACACCAUAGCACGUCUGCUGGAUAAAACUGUAUUCAUUCUCUAAGACCCAGUUCAAAUCCCAUCUCUUCUUUAUAUUCUUGCCAAACUCCUCCAGUAAAAUAAUUUACUCCCACGUGGUUCAUAAAAUUAGUAAAGGAGGAAACACCGCAAGCUGCUCUAGGUCAAACUGUGGGCAAAAGCUAAGCUUCACCCCGUUCCCCACAGGCCCCAGCACAGGAGUCAGCCAACUAUGUCUUACGGGCCAAAUCUGCCCU